rnacentral:lncRNA from 10 species
GGAAGGUUGAGGACCUUCAGUUCCGGGUUGAAGAAGAAUCAAUUACCAAAGGUGAUCUUGAGGUAAAACCCCUCCAGCUCUCUUACAGCUUUUAUGGGUAUCAGUAUUCAGAACACGGGCGAAAUAAUGCACCAAUUGAAAUGAGCGGCCAGAACAGCCAGCUGAGGAAGUGGCGGGGGAAGGUUCUGGGGGUGGCUUUGUGGUGACGGUGCCGGUACUUGAGCCUGUGAGUGUGUGGCCCACUUCCUAGCAGAGUGGAACUUGCACUACUUCUUUCUCAUGCUUCAAAAUGCAAAACCAUGAAUUGGAUCUCAUCAAGUCAUAAAUCUGGCAGUGUGUCCUCAAUUUAAAGCAGUCCUAAGUGAGACUUAAUGGUGUUCGUCUGAUGAUUAGAAAAGGCAUUUUAAAUUUUGUCAUAGUAGUCCAUAACAGGCCGGGUGCGGUGGUUCACGCCUGUAAUCCCAGCACUUUGGGAGGCCGAGGUAGGUGGAUCACCCGAGGUCAGGAGUUCGAAACCAGCCUGGCUAACGUGGUGAGACCCCGUCUCUACUAAAAAUACAAAAUUAGCCGGGCGUGGUGGCGGGUGCCUGUAAUCCCAGCUACUUGGGAGGCUGAGGCAGGAGAAUCGCUUGAACCCAGGAGGUGGAGGUUGCAGUGAGCCGAGAUCGUGCCACUGCACUCCAGCUUGGGGGAUGGGUCGAGACUUUGUCUCCAAAAAAAAAAAAAAAAGUCCACAACAAAGUUUUUUGCUUUAUCUCAGCUUUGCUUUCCAGUUGAGCAGGAUAAAUCCUUUUAUAACCCUAUAAAAGGAAUAUGUUGUAAUUGUUAAUUUUUUUAAAAAAGUAAUUAGCAGAGCAAAAACUAAGAACACUUUAUAUUUCAACUUCUUUUACUUUCAUGGCAUUUGUAGAAUUCAUGGAUUUUCCUUUAGUGUCAGGUUUCUCAUCCCUUUUUAACAAUUUAUUCAUAUUAGUUUUUAAAUUAGACACCAGAAUUAAAUGGUUUUGAUGGUUUCAAGCCAUUGCUAGAUAUAUGACAAAUGUAAAUCAUUCAGUUUUUCAAAUUUUCCAGAUUUGUAGUUCUUUAAUCUACAAUAUUUUAGUAAAAAUUGCACUUAACUGUGCGUUUCCCAAAUAUGCAGUUUUGCUACAAUUUUAGAGUCUGCUGGCUGCCCACACCAUGCUUAAAUUUGAGGGGCCCUUCCAAACAGCAACUCUGAUUUCUUUGAAAAUAAAUGUAUCUUUACAGUUAACAAAGAGCAAGGGGGGCAUUUUCUGGGUUCUAGUUUUAUGGGGCCCAGAAUUUAAUGGUUCAUUAACAAUUUAAUAGAUAUCUUCUUCACUCAUUUCAUAUACAGCCACAUUCCUUUAGUCAAUUUUUGUGUUGUUCUCAUCCAUUUAAAAACACCCCAAAGUCUCAUUAGAAGUUUCAUGUCAUCAUCUAAUUCAUGUGAAAUAUAGCCCAUGGUGUCUUCAGGAGGGUCCAGUUAAAAUAAUUUACAUCAGCACUGGGUUGUAUAGUCUGUCUGAUAAACUUACUUGAAAUUAAUCAAAUAAAGUUAUCUUGAAACCCUAACACAUAUUGAAGCUUUAUUGGAAUCUCUUUUUUGUUGUUGUUUAAUUUUUUUUAUUUUUUUACUGAUAGCAAAAGAGCCAGAUUUCUGAAGAUCCUGAGAAUGUAAGAGGGCACUUAACUGUGUGGAUAUUUCCCUUGUUAACAAAGAUUGAUCACAGAUUAAAAUGCUUAUUGAUAUACUCAAACACUAACUGCAUAAUCUGACCUUGGGACAUUGACCUUAAUGUUUCUGUGCAUGUGGCUUUCAAAGCAAUUACAUUUAUAUCCUGAAGAAAUUGUAUGUAAUGACUAAGCUCCACACAUUCAUGUGUUUAAUGAAUAGGCCAACGUUUGCUUUAUAAAGAAUUUUGCCAGAAAGGGGGGAAAAAUGUUUUUUGUCUGGAGACCUGGCCUUCUUCACCUAAUUCAUAAUGUCUUCUAAUUUUAGUGGAAUUAUUCCAAAAGAGAUGAUAUCUGGCUGGAGCAUAAGGCAUUCUAGAUGUGGAGUUGUGGGAAUUCUGGGGAAGUUUCCAAGUUGUCUAAUUUUGCUUCCCAUGAGAGGAAAGGGGAUUGUGAGGCUGGCUGCUGUCCCGGAGCUGACUGGCUGCCUUUUCAGUGUGCCCCCGCCACUGGCCAGUGCCUGCCAGUGCAGCUGAUGAGACAUUUAAACUUCUGUUUGUUUCUACAAUAUUUUCCUUAGUUGCAAAACUAGAGGCAAGCGUUUGUCAAUGAAGACAAUAGCAUGUUUUAAAUUGUUAUUACCGAAGUGAGAGUUUUCUAGCUGUAGCAUUACUAGGUAUGCAGGUGUUUUAUUUUUCUUCCUCCAAGUUCAAACACCCAGUACAAGUCCUUGCUAUGUGGUCUCCAGAGCCCUGCUUCCUGGUGUACCCUGCCAGCUGUGCUGCUGGUUGUAAAGAACCUGAAAACGUUUUGCCUUGAUUUACUGCCACAUAAGACGGAAAUUAAAGAAUGACAUUACUUCCUACCACCUCCUGGCAGCUGAAAUAGACAACUCAAGACUAAACUUUUGGCCAGGCACUGUGGCUCACACCUGUAAUCCCAGCACUUUGGGAGGUUGAGGCGGGCAGAACACCUAAGGUUAGGAGUUUGAGACCAGCCUGGCCAACAUGGUGAAACCCUGUCUCUACUAAAAAUACAAAAAUUAGCCGAAUAUGGUGGCACGCACCUGUAAUCCCAGCUACUAGGGAGGCUGAGGCAGGAGAAUCGCUUGAACCCAGGAGGCAGAGGUUGCAGUGACAGGAGAUCAUGCCACUGCACUCCAGCCUGGACAACAAGAACAAAACUCCAUCUCAAAAAAAAACAAAAAAAACAAAAAAAACAAAAAAACACAAGACUGAAUUUUUUAAAAGGUCUUCGUUCUGAAGGGUUCCUUUUUGUGAAGCUACUUCAGUGAUCUGGGUCUCUUCUCUCCUUCCGAAACAGGCUCCCGCUGCCCCCGGUGUCAGUCUGCAUGGGAUUUCCCCCCUGCCUUUCCUGUGCGCUUCUCGCAAAGCCUUUGCUUUCCUUCUCAAUCCCCUGUCCCAGGACUUUCCUCUUGGGAUACUCUGUGUUCUUAUUCUAAGAAAGGAAUGAUUUUACAAGAAGGGUUGUCCUGUUCAGUGUCACAUUUUUACUGUGUGCUGUGGCAUGGAAGUGGAUCACUAGUUCCCUUGCUGCUGAUUGAUCACUCAAGGUCAGGAGUUUGAGACCAGCCAGUUCGAGACCAGCCUGGCCAACAUGGUGAAACCCAGUCUCUACUGAAAUACAAAAAUUAGCCAGGUGUGGUGGCGCAUGCCUGUAAUCCCAGCUACUACGGAGGCUGAGGCACUGUAGAGUCCCAGAUAAUGUGUAUAUAGACCCAUCAGUAAGGAGGCGUUGGCUACGCUUAUCUGAAAGAUCUCUGAAUGGGGAGGAGAUCACAUUAAAUGUGUAUUUGCUUUUUAUCUGGAAAUAGUGACCUUUUACCCAGAGGACACUUAACUGUGUCAAGAGAAGAAAGGUUCUAUUGCCUUUUCUUUUUCCUACUACUGUAGUUUUGGAUUUCAGCUCCUGAGGCUGUGACCCCAAUUAUGUAGAUAAGGAUUAGAUUCUUUUCUUAUAAAAGCAGGGAAAUUGAACAGUGUCCAUCCAAGGCACAUACAGACCAAGGGGAUUAUCCAGACAGUUAGGGCUUGAAUUGUAUUUCAUUAUUUUUGUGGAGUAUACAGAGCUGAAGCAGGUGAUGAAUUAAAAAAAAUUUUUUUGUUCACCUUUUAAAUAUCUCAUCAUGGUUUGUCGAUACCUGGUUUACAAGCAAAGUGACCUCUUGAAUGUAUUGAGGUCCCCGAGUCCCACUGGAAUGAGUGAAGACGUUUGCAAUCUUCACUUUUACAUUCCCCCCUCUACUGAAGCUCUGCACUUUGUGUCACUUUGUUUAGAGUCUGUUGUCAUUUUUUCAUUGCCCAUAAUUGUCCAGACUGAUAGGUCAAUUAGUACCACAAAGUAUUUAAAUUACUGCACGUAACUGACAGUUGCUGAGAGCAGCCCUGCGGGUGUGGGCCUUGUCAGUCACUGAUUCUGAUAACUGAUAACCUCUUGUGUAAGAGAGGUGGGGGUGGGAAGAGGUACAUUUGGACCUAGAUUAUUUCAAAUUAAGAUUCUGCUGCACUUAAACCUGUUAGAGAUUAUCCUCUGGGUUCCCUAUCAGGCUACAUCCAAGUGCGUAAUGGUGGGGAGAGCAGAGUAUCUGAGAUCACAGGUUUUGAAUCACCUUAGGAACCCACCAGCUCUUUUUGAGAGAGCUCAAACUCAUGCCUUUGUGUUGAGUUGCGUUUUUAUGUCUGAGCUAAUAAAAACAACUUCAUCUUAAGGUAAAAAUAAUAAACCCCUUACCAGUUUGAGGUAAACUUUCCUCCUCUCUUGAGCCUCUCAAUUGGACUCCUUCAGAGAUGGAGACUAUAGAGGAUAAUUAUUACUAAAUUUUCUCUUUGUAAUUCUGAGUCCUUUUUUCCCUCCCUGGAGCCCAAUAGCCUUUGGGACAUCCACUGCUGGAAGGAAACUAGAGCUUCCAUGGCCUCUUCCCCAUCACAUGUAGGAAUGUUGCUAAGACUCUUAACUCAGACCCUUCUCACCCAUUUCUGCAGAGGCUGCUAGCAUGAUUUCUUAGCUCUAGUUGGAGCUAGAGAAGGAAUAGAUUCCUUCUACUGAGGUUUUUAUUUGACCCUUAUUUACGUCAAGUUAUAUGCUAAGGUGCAAGAAUCUGCUCUAAGGACUUAUUGAACAGUUUAAGAUUUAUAAUACCUUUGCCAUAUUUAGGUGAUAGUGACCAUCAUUCUGAGGGUCAAUAUACCUUGUGAAGUUAUCGAGUCAGUUACAUACACAUUAAUGUCAAGUAGCCUUUGUGGGGCGGAGGGAUAAUGAUAGUUUAGAGGGAGGGAUAUUAACUAUUCUAAUUGGUGCUGAUAAACUUCACUUAUCAAUAUUACUUAUAUUUGGCUGCAUGCCUCUGACACUUCAUCUGGCCUCAUGUGUUUUCCAUUUUUUCUUUCUGAACAGACUAGCCCAUGCCCCCUGCCCACCACCAUCCUUUGUCCCUGGUAUUCAUCCUCACUGCCCACCUCAUCUCACCUCCACCUCUUCCCUUCUCCAUUCCCCUUUGGUUCACCCUUUGGCAGAAGGUACUGGUGGCUCAGCCUGCAUGCCGCUGUCUCUCCUCUCGUGCUGGCAUGUCAUGGUGGCACUGUUGUGUUCUCUUCCUCUUCCUUUUUACUAACAGACGCAGACCAAACUGGAGCAUGCCCGCAUUAAGGAGCUUGAACAGAGCCUGCUCUUUGAAAAGACCAAAGCUGACAAACUCCAGAGGGAGUUAGAAGACACUAGGGUAAUGGUUUUCACUAUUUAAUGAAGCAGACCCAUGCAUGUGAAGGGUGGACACCUCAGGUGACAUGCUUUAUAGUUGGCCUGAGCCUUGACCCAGUGGUUCAACCUGAGUUUGGUCUUGGUACCAUUCAGGUGUUUGUGAGCUGAGACUGAUGAGUAGGAACAGGUGUUUUAUAUCUCGUCUUUUGUCAAAAGUAAAGACUCAUUCCUUUGGUAACCCAACCAAAUCAGGAUCAGAAACUUUACAACUGAAUAAAUGAAUGGAUAUAACUGUAUUUGAAGUUAUUUAUAUUAAUACCAUGAAAUAUAUUUCUCCAGUUGGCCACAAGCAGUCAAUUGUCCUCUUGUUCUCAAAUAUCUAGUUACUAGGCUUUCUAAAUAAUUUUUUGUUAUUGUUGUUUUACUUUAGCUCUCUUCCUGCCUUCUUCCCUGGCCUCUUGGAGAAGGAAAUGGAAACAUGGGCUGUGUUUCAUGAGAGUUAAAAACUUUCACCCCAGUUACCUUUUUAUCUUGGAAGGCUGAUCUCUGCAUCUCCCUCCUUCCUGUCGCUCGGGGGAUUGAAACCUCAGUGGACACUGGGCGCAGUGGCUCUUGCUUCUUAUCCCAGCACUUUGGGAGGCUGAGGCAGGCAGAUUACUUGAGGUUGGGAGUUUGAGACCAGCCUGGCCAACAUGGAGAAACCCCAUCUCUACUAAAAAUACUAAAAUUAUCCGGGCGUGGUGACACAUGCCUGUAAUCCCAGCUACUAGGGAGGCUGAGGCAGGAGAAUCACUUGAACCUGGGAGGCAGAGGUUGCGGUGAGCCGAGAUCACGCCAUUGCACUCCAGCCUGGGCAACAAGAGCGAAACUCUGUCUCA